GACGGAGGAUGCAAGCGUUAUCCGGAAUGAUUGGGCGUAAAGCGUCCGCAGGUGGCAGUUCAAGUCUGCUGUCAAAGACCGGGGCUUAACUUCGGAAAGGCAGUGGAAACUGAACAGCUAGGGUAUGGUAGGGGCAGAGGGAAUUCCUGGUGUAGCGGUGAAAUGCGUAGAUAUCAGGAAGAACAUCGGUGGCGAAGGCGCUCUGCUGGACCAUAACUGACACUCAGGGACGAAAGCUAGGGGAGCGAAUGGG
rnacentral:rRNA from 1 species